AGGGGUAGAGCCCAGUGGUAGAGCACAUGCUUAGCAUUCGGGAGGUCCUGGGUUCAAUCCCCAGUACCUCCA
rnacentral:tRNA from 1 species